CCCAGAUGGACAACCACAACCACAGAAACUACAUCUCGGUUUUCCUACAGAUCAUUCACUACUCACCAUGAGGGCCAUUCUCCAACAUUAGCUGUCAUUUCAGACUCAGUUGCCCACAAGUCUCUCCUGAAAGGAUCUCACCAUUAUUUGGCUUCAAUGGAUGAUACUGACAUUGUCUUCCUGUGCUGAGUACGGAUGUCUUUACCAAGAUAGAGCAAACAAUGUGUACUUUGACCAAGCCAACCAUGUUGCUAUUCAAUCAUUCUAUGUUCUCUCUCUGCACUCUGUUCCACCAGCACUUUCUCCAAAAGUAGCAGGAGAGAGGAACAACGAGAUACAGCAUCACUUGUUUCCCUCAUUGAGUAGAGAGGGUACCAAAGGGCUGAUGGAUGUGGAGUAAUGCUUGGACAGAUUUUCUACCAAGUACAUCAAUUUCCUCAGUAUACUGGUAACCACCUAUCUACAAGGGAUGUUCCAAAAGUAUGGCCUCCUAUUUUAUUAUGUUGGCUUACGAUUUCAGAGGUGGAUGUUGGUGAUGUGACAGUAGAAGUUGAACAUUCUCACCAAUGUUGUUGCCAUGCAACAGAUGGCAGUGGAGGGGCAGUGUGACACAAUGGCAUCUGACGUGGAAGUGCACAGAAAGCAAAGAUCUGGUGAGAGCUGAGGCCAAGCAUGAACCUAUCCUGAAUUUAUCUCAAGUGCACUUCAGAUGCAGCGCAUGAUUGGAUCCCACCUGGUGUACUUGAAGAGCAGUCAUCCUUGAAAGAUAAACUCCUGACUUUUUUUCUUCCUUCUGAAAGCACGGAAAUGUUCAGUUCUGUUCUGCUCCUUUUUCUUGCCACUGAAGCAGUGUUUGUUGCCUCUAUAAAAUGGAACCAAACAAGAUGAUUAAAUGAUUCAUCAAAAAGAAAAACAGUAGUAGAUGGUCGCUGAUGAUUCU
ensembl:lncRNA